UGUUUUGCUUUCGACGCCUUGGAAUUCAAUUGUUUAGAAAAAAAAGGGGGAGAAAUUUAUGGUGAAGUAGGAAGGAAGAAGGGUCUUGGAUUCUUCGUUGGUCCGUGGGCGGCCCCAACUGUAACCUUCAACUUUGCUUGAAUUUACGGUGUCUGCCAAUUUCACCCAAAAGAGGAAAUUAAAUAAUAUUAAGCAAAGGUGAAAAAACAAAGCUUGUGCAGAGACGUCUUCUUUUCCCUUCCCUUUCCUUCCCUUUUAUUUCGUGUUUCCUAGCUCCGCGUAUUCGACAAUCAGUCAGUUACCGGAUAUCAGGAGUAGUUAGUUUUUGCCAUCUGAUUCAUCGUCGAGGUCUUCUUUCUCGAUUUCCGGCGACUAGUUUUUCUCGGCUUCUUCUGUAGAUCUGAGGCGUUAUUUGAUUGAUUUUCUCAGUUGUGGUCUAUUUUGCGGUUUGUGAGAUGAAAAUUCUGUGAAGGUAUUUUGGGUUUUGGGGCUAAGGCUUUUUCGGAGAUAUGGAGGAGUUAGGUGCGCAAGUUGCUCCUCCAAUAUUCAUCCAUCAAGCGCUUUCUAGCCGAUUUUGUGACGCGACUUCCAUGGCCAAAAAGCGUGAUCUUUCUUAUCAAACACCCAAUUUUCAGCUCCAGCAGCAGCAUCGUUUUGUUCCAAACCCUAGAGACAACUGGAAUCCCAAGGCAUGGAACUGGGAUAGCAUCAGGUUUGUCGCUAAACCCUCAGAUGCUGACACCAACGCUUUGCAAUUGGGCUCUGCAACCUUGGAGCCGAAGAAGAAGACUGAAGCUUCUGGAAAUCAUUUGCCUUUGAAAAAGGCCGCUGUGGAUGAA
rnacentral:misc_RNA from 1 species